CGUAGGGGGCAAGCGUUGUCCGGAUUUAUUGGGCGUAAAGCGCGUGCAGGCGGCCCGUUAAGUCGGCCGUGAAAGCUCCGGGCUCAACUCGGAGAGGUCGGGCGAGACUGGCGGGCUCGAGGCUGGCAGAGGGCGGUGGAAUUCCGGGUGUAGUGGUGGAAUGCGUAGAGCUCCGAGGAACACCAGUGGCGAAGGCGGCCGCCUGGGCCAGCCCUGACGCUGAGACGCGAAAGCGUGGGGAGCGAUCCGGAUUAGAUACCCGGGUAGUCCACGCCGUAAACGAUGGGUACUAGCUGUCGGGGGUAUCGACCCCCUCGGUGGCGGCGCUAACGCAAUAAGUACCCCGCCUGGGGAGUACGGCCGCAAGGCUA
rnacentral:rRNA from 1 species